rnacentral:rRNA from 1 species
GACGAACGCUGGCGGCGUGCUUAACACAUGCAAGUCGUGCGGUAAGGCCCUUUCGGGGGUCCACGAGCGGCGAACGGGUGCGUAACACGUGAGCAACCUGCCCUUCACUUUGGGAUAACUGCCGGAAACGGUGGCUAAUACCGGAUAUGACUUCCUCACGCAUGUGGGGUGGUGGAAAGCCUUCGGGUGGUGGGGGAUGGGCUCGCGGUCUAUCAGCUUGUUGGUGGGGUGAUGGCCUACCAAGGCUUCGACGGGUAGCCGGCCUGAGAGGGUGAUCGGCCACACUGGGACUGAGACAAGGCCCAGACUCCUACGGGAGGCAGCAGUGGGGAAUAUUGGACAAUGGGCGAAAGCCUGAUCCAGCAACGCCGCGUGAGGGAUGACGGCCUUCGGGUUGUAAACCUCUUUCGCCUGCGACGAAGCGAGAGUGACGGUAGCAGGUAAAGAAGCACCGGCCAACUACGUG